GACGAACGCUGGCGGCGUGCUUAACACAUGCAAGUCGAACGGAAAGGCCCUGCUUUUGUGGGGUGCUCGAGUGGCGAACGGGUGAGUAACACGUGAGUAACCUGCCCUUGACUUUGGGAUAACUUCAGGAAACUGGGGCUAAUACCGGAUAGGAGCUCCUGCUGCAUGGUGGGGGUUGGAAAGUUUCGGCGGUUGGGGAUGGACUCGCGGCUUAUCAGCUUGUUGGUGGGGUAGUGGCUUACCAAGGCUUUGACGGGUAGCCGGCCUGAGAGGGUGACCGGCCACAAUGGGACUGAGGUACGGCCCAGACUCCUACGGGAGGCAGCAGUGGGGAAUAUUGCACAAUGGGCGGGAGCCUGAUGCAGCAACGCCGCGUGCGGGAUGACGGCCUUCGGGUUGUAAACCGCUUUCGCCUGUGACGAAGCGUGAGUGACGGUAAUGGGUGAAGAAGCACCGGCUAACUACGUG
rnacentral:rRNA from 1 species